GGGUGGUAAUGCCGGAUGCUCCAGUUGACCGCAUGGUCCUCUGGGAAAGCUUUUGCGGUAUGGGAUGGGGUCGCGUCCUAUCAGCUUGAUGGCGGGGUAACGGCCCACCAUGGCUUCGACGGGUAGCCGGCCUGAGAGGGCGACCGGCCACAUUGGGACUGAGAUACGGCCCAGACUCCUACGGGAGGCAGCAGUGGGGAAUAUUGCACAAUGGGCGCAAGCCUGAUGCAGCGACGCCGCGUGCGGGAUGACGGCCUUCGGGUUGUAAACCGCUUUUGACUGGGAGCAAGCCUUCGGGGUGAGUGUACCUUUCGAAUAAGCACCGGCUAACUACGUGCCAGCAGCCGCGGUAAU
rnacentral:rRNA from 1 species